GGGAGGAGAGGGCCCUGCAGAGGGCAGAAGAGUGGGUCGUGGUGAAUGAAAAUAACCUUCCCAGGCUGGAGAGCGUUCUCUUAGCUGAGGAGGCCAAACUAGACCGAUGCACUGCCUCCCUCUUGCAGGUCAUGGAAGAGAUGAAGGAGUUUCAGUCAAAGGGAGACACACUGUUUGAGGAGACCCAGAGGCUACGAGCCACCCUGGAGGGCAGGCACCAGGAGGAGGUGUGUCAGGAGGAGGAGGUGUACCAGGAGGAGGAGGUGCACCAGGA